AACGAACGCUGGCGGCAUGCCUAACACAUGCAAGUCGAACGAGACCUUCGGGUCUAGUGGCGCACGGGUGGUUAACGCGUGGGAACCUGCCCUUAGGUUCGGAAUAACUCACCGAAGGGGGUGCUAAUACCGGAUAAUGUCUUCGGACCAAAGAUUUAUCGCCUUUGGAUGGGCCCGCGUUGGAUUAGCUAGUUGGUAGGGUAAAAGCCUACCAAGGCGACGAUCCAUAGCUGGUCUGAGAGGAUGAUCAGCCACACUGGGACUGAGACACGGCCCAGACUCCUACGGGAGGCAGCAGUGGGGAAUAUUGGACAAUGGGCGAAAGCCUGAUCCAGCAAUGCCGCGUGAGUGAUGAAGGCCUUAGGGUUGUAAAGCUCUUUUACCCGGGAUGAUAAUGACAGUACCGGGAGAAUAAGCUCCGGCUAACUCCGUG
rnacentral:rRNA from 1 species